AGGUGCUGCACGGCUGUCGUCAGCUCGUGUCGUGAGAUGUUGGGUUAAGUCCCGCAACGAGCGCAACCCUCGUGUUUAGUUACUAACAGUUCGGCUGAGGACUCUAAACAGACUGCCUGGGUAACCAGGAGGAAGGUGAGGACGACGUCAAGUCAUCAUGGCCCUUACGGCCAGGGCUACACACGUGCUACAAUGGGGUAUACAAAGAGCUGCAAUACGGUGACGUGGAGCAAAUCUCAUAAAAUAUCUCCCAGUUCGGAUUGAAGUCUGCAACUCGACUUCAUGAAGUUGGAAUCGCUAGUAAUCGUAGAUCAGCAAUGCUACGGUGAAUACGUUCCCGGGUCUUGUACUCACCGCCCGUCACACCAUGGGAAUUGAAUUCAUUCGAAGCGGGGAUGCUAAAAUAGCUACCUUCCACAGUGGAUUUAGUAACUAGGGUGAAGUCGUAACAAGGUA
rnacentral:rRNA from 1 species